rnacentral:lncRNA from 1 species
CCUGUAUAUGACAUAAUUUCUAUUCUUCCUGUAAGGUGAAUCACUACUGAUCUUGUUUGACAGAAAUAUUCAGCCCACAGUACAGUCUCUUGAUCUUUCCCAUUUGGAAAAGACUAAGGAUUCUGUGGCCUCUCUCUGAACUGGUGCACCAGCAUCAGCCCCUAGACAGCCUCACUGUUCUUUGCUGCUGCUCUGGGUUUCCUCCUGGUCUGCUGAAGGACCUUCACUGUUCUGUCUGGUGAAGAUGUUACCUGCACCGACCUUUAAUUAUCUCUUUAUUGUCUUCACUACCUUACCCAUGACUUGAGCACAGCAAAGGGUAAUUAGCCCACGCUCAAAAUCCACGUGUGUUUUUUUUUUAAUCAAACAGGCUAUCAAAUUAGCAAAUCAGAUGUGAUUUCAUAGCUGGAACAAGGAACAGAGCUGUGGACUGAAGCAGCAGGAGGCCUCCAAGGCAGUGAACGAUCCCUUAAACAACAAGAAAUGAUAUUCAUGCAAAGUAUCUACAGAAAGCACAUAUCCUCUACUAUGUCAGUAGUUUCUCACCAGCAAGGGGAUCCUGCUGGAUGCACUAAUUCGAGAGAUGAAUUAGCUUCUAGAUCUUCACCUCAACAGUCAUCAAUUCACUUAAGAACGAAACAUGUCAGCAAACAGUGUGGAAAAUCAUGUAGUCAAGGAUCAUUUCUUAAUGCACAGGGUCCUAUUCACACUAGAGGAAAAUCAUGUGAAUGUCUUCUAUGUAAAAAAGUCUUUAAUAAUUACUUUAGCCUCAGAUGACACAGGAUGAUUCACACAGGAGAGAAACCAAACAAAUGCAGUCUGUGUGGAAAUGGCUAUUUUCUGAGAAACCACAAUCGGGUCCACACUGGAGAGAAACGAUUUGAAUGUCAUGUGUGUGGGAAACUCUUCAAAGUUCCUACCUGGAACAUGAGAAAACACACAGGAGAGAAGCCCUAUAAAUGUCACCUGUGUGAGAAAAGUUUUCAUCAAAUCUCUUACCUUAGAAAACACGAGAAA